rnacentral:rRNA from 1 species
UGGGGAAUUUUGCACAAUGGGGGAAACCCUGAUGCAGCGACGCCGCGUGUACGAUGAAGAUCUUCGGAUUGUAAAGUACUGUCCUUGGUGAAGAUAAUGACUGUAACCAAGAAGCAAGCCCUGGCUAAAUACGUGCCAGCAGCCGCGGUAAUACGUAUGGGGCAAGCGUUGUCCGGAAUUAUUGGGCGUAAAGGGUACGUAGGCGGUUAUUUAAGUCUAAAUUAAAAGGCAUUGGCUCAACCAAUGUAAGGUUUAGAUACUGGGUAACUUGAGUAGAUGAGGGGAAAGUGGAAUUCCAUGUGUAGCGGUGAAAUGCGUAGAUAUAUAGAGGAACACCAAUGGCGAAGGCAACUUUCUGGAAUCAAACUGACGCUGAGGUACGAAGGCGUGGGGAGCAAACAGG